UACGUAGGGUGCAAGCGUUGUCCGGAAUUAUUGGGCGUAAAGAGCUCGUAGGCGGUCUGUCGCGUCGGAUGUGAAAACCCAGGGCUCAACCCUUGGCCUGCAUUCGAUACGGGCAGACUAGAGUUCGGUAGGGGAGACUGGAAUUCCUGGUGUAGCGGUGAAAUGCGCAGAUAUCAGGAGGAACACCGGUGGCGAAGGCGGGUCUCUGGGCCGAAACUGACGCUGAGGAGCGAAAGCGUGGGGAGCAAACAGG
rnacentral:rRNA from 1 species